rnacentral:rRNA from 1 species
AUUGAACGCUGGCGGCAUGCCUUACACAUGCAAGUCGAACGGCAGCACGGGAGCAAUCCUGGUGGCGAGUGGCGAACGGGUGAGUAAUAUAUCGGAACGUGCCCAGUCGUGGGGGAUAACACAGCGAAAGCUGUGCUAAUACCGCAUACGAUCUACGGAUGAAAGCGGGGGAUCGCAAGACCUCGCGCGAUUGGAGCGGCCGAUAUCAGAUUAGCCAGUUGGUGGGGUAAAGGCCCACCAAGGCGACGAUCUGUAGCUGGUCUGUGAGGACGACCAGCCACACUGGAACUGAGACACGGUCCAGACUCCUACGGGAGGCAGCAGUGGGGAAUUUUGGACAAUGGACGCAAGUCUGAUCCAGCAAUGCCGCGUGCAGGACGAAGGCCUUCGGGUUGUAAACUGCUUUUGUACGGAACGAAACGGUGAGCUCUAAUACAGUUUGCUAAUAACGGUACCGUAAGAAUAAGCACCGGCUAACUACGUGCCAGCCGCCGCCGUAA